rnacentral:rRNA from 1 species
GAUGAACGCUAGCGGGAGGCCUAACACAUGCAAGCCGAGCGGUAUUGUUUCUUCGGAAAUGAGAGAGCGGCGUACGGGUGCGUAACACGUGUGCAACCUGCCUUUAUCUGGGGGAUAGCCUUUCGAAAGGAAGAUUAAUACUCCAUAAUAUAUUGAACGGCAUCGUUUAAUAUUGAAAGCUCCGGCGGAUAGAGAUGGGCACGCGCAAGAUUAGCUAGUUGGUGAGGUAACGGCUCACCAAGGCGAUGAUCUUUAGGGGGCCUGAGAGGGUGAUCCCCCACACUGGUACUGAGACACGGACCAGACUCCUACGGGAGGCAGCAGUGAGGAAUAUUGGUCAAUGGGUGCAAGCCUGAACCAGCCAUCCCGCGUGAAGGACGACUGCCCUAUGGGUUGUAAACUUCUUUUGUAUAGGGAUAAACCUACCCUCGAGGGGGUAGCUGAAGGUACUAUACGAAUAAGCACCGGCUAACUCCGUG